UGAGUGACCUGCCGAUUUGUGGGGGAUAGCCGGGCCAACGCCCGGGUAAUACCGCAUACGCUCUUCUUGGGGCAUCUCUAGAAGAGGAAACCUCCGGGGCAAAUCGAGGGACUCGCGGCCUAUCAGCUAGUUGGCGAGGUAACGCUCACCAAGGCUACGACGGGUANCUGGUCUGAGAGGAUGGCCAGCCACAUUGGGACUGAGAUACGGCCCAGACUCCGUACGGGAGCAG
rnacentral:rRNA from 1 species